rnacentral:rRNA from 1 species
CUGGAACUGCCAUCAAAACUUUUCAGCUAGAGUAUGAUAGAGGAAAGCAGAAUUUCUAGUGUAGAGGUGAAAUUCGUAGAUAUUAGAAAGAAUACCAAUUGCGAAGCCAGCUUUCUGGAUCAUUACUGACACUGAGGAACGAAAGCAUGGGUAGCGAAGAGGAUUAGAUACCCUCGUAGUCCAUGCCGUAAACGAUGUGUGUUAGACGUUGGAAAUUUAUUUUCAGUGUCGCAGCGAAAGCGAUAAACACACCGCCUGGGGAGUACGACCGCAAGGUUAAAACUCAAAUGAAUUGACGGGGACCCGCACAAGUAGUGGAGCAUGUGGUUUAAUUCGAAGAUACGCGCAGAACCUUACCAACACUUGACAUGUUCGUCGCGACUUUAAGAGAUUAAAGUUUUCGGUUCGGCCGGACGAAACACAGGUGCUGCAUGGCUGUCGUCAGCUCGUGUCGUGAGAUGUUGGGUUAAGUCCCGCAACGAGCGCAACCCUCACUUUUAGUUGCCAUCAUUAAGUUGGGCACUCUGAAAGAACUGCCAGUGAUAAGCUGGAGGAAGGUGGGGAUGACGUCAAGUCCUCAUGGCCCUUACGUGUUGGGCUACACACGUGCUACAAUGGUAUCUACAACAGGAAGCAAGACGGCGGCGUUAAGCAAAUCCUUAAAAGAUACCUCAGUUCGGAUUGCACUCUGCAACUCGAGUGCAUGAAGCUGGAAUUACUAGUAAUCGUGGAUCAGCGUGCCACGGUGAAUGCGUUCCCGGGUCUUGUACACACCGCCCGUCACACCAUGGGAGUUGGUUCUACCUUAAGGCAAGGUUUAAAACCCUUGACCACGGUAUAGUCGGCGACUGGGGUGAAGUCGUAACAAGGUAAC